CCGGCGCUGGGCGCUACAGCGGCUCCCGGUGCGCCCCUCACCAGUCUGUUGCUCACAGGGCCUCUGCAUAGGCUGGGACUGCCGGCUAGGCCAGGAGACCUGGCAGCUGCGGACUCCCCAGCUCGGAGCAGCCCCUCUUUGACCUCGCAUGGUGGAGAAGCAG
rnacentral:lncRNA from 1 species